UGGGGAAUCUUGCGCAAUGGGCGAAAGCCUGACGCAGCAACGCCGCGUGCGGGAUGAAGGCUCUCGGGUUGUAAACCGCUUUCAGCAGGAACGAAAAUGACGGUACUUGCAGAAGAAGGUGCGGCCAACUAUGUGCCAGCAGCCGCGGUGAUACAUAGGCACCAAGCGUUGUCCGGAUUUAUUGGGCGUAAAGAGCUCGUAGGUGGUUCGGUAAGUCGGGUGUGAAAACUUUGGGCUCAACCCAAAGCCUGCAUCCGAUACUGCUGUGACUAGAGUUCGGUAGGGGAGCGGGGAAUUCCUAGUGUAGCGGUGAAAUGCGCAGAUAUUAGGAGGAACACCGGUGGCGAAGGCGCCGCUCUGGGCCGAUACUGACACUGAGGAGC
rnacentral:rRNA from 1 species